rnacentral:rRNA from 1 species
AGUGAACGCUGGCGGUAGGCCUAACACAUGCAAGUCGAACGGCAGCACAGUAAGAGCUUGCUCUUACGGGUGGCGAGUGGCGGACGGGUGAGGAAUACAUCGGAAUCUACUUUUUCGUGGGGGAUAACGUAGGGAAACUUACGCUAAUACCGCAUACGACCUACGGGUGAAAGCAGGGGAUCUUCGGACCUUGCGCGAUUGAAUGAGCCGAUGUCGGAUUAGCUAGUUGGCGGGGUAAAGGCCCACCAAGGCGACGAUCCGUAGCUGGUCUGAGAGGAUGAUCAGCCACACUGGAACUGAGACACGGUCCAGACUCCUACGGGAGGCAGCAGUGGGGAAUAUUGGACAAUGGGCGCAAGCCUGAACCAGCCAUACCGCGUGGGUGAAGAAGGCCUUCGGGUGGUAAAGCCCUUUUGUUGGGAAAGAAAAGCAGCAGGUUAAUACCCCGCUGUUCGGACGGGACCCAAAGAAGAAACACCGGCAAACUUCGG